GUCAGAAGUGAAAUUCUUGGAUCUAUAAAGACGAACUUCUGCGAAAGCAUUUGCCAAGGAUGUUUUCAUUGAUCAAGAACGAAAGUUGGGGGCUCGAAGACGAUUAGAUACCGUCGUAGUCUCAACCAUAAACGAUGCCGACCAGGGAUUGGCGGGUGUUCUUUUAAUGACCCCGCCAGCACCUUGAGAGAAAUCAGAGUCUUUGGGUUCCGGGGGGAGUAUGGUCGCGAGGCUGAAACUUAAAGGAAUUGACGGAAGGGCACCACCAGGCGUGGAGCCUGCGGCUUAAUUUGCCUCAACACGGGAAAACUUACAAGGACCAGACACGAGGAUGAUUAACAGAUUGAGAGCUCUUUUUUGAUUUUGUGGGUGGUGGUGCAUGGCCGUUCUUAGUUGGUGGGUUGCCUUGUCAGGUUGAUUCCGGUAACGAACGAGACCUCAGCCUGCUAAAUAGUCACGUUUCCUUUCUGGAUACGCUUGACUUCUUAGAGGGACUAUUGUCGUUUAGGCAAUGGAAGUGUGAGGCAAUAACAGGUCUGUGAUGCCCUUAG
rnacentral:rRNA from 1 species